CCCUUAGAUGUUCUGGGCCGCACGCGUGCUACACUGAGUGGAUCAGCGGGUCAGGUUGCGCGAAAGUGUUUCCUAAUCUUGAAAUCCGCUCGUGAUGGGGAUUGACGGUUGCAAUUUUCCGUCAUGAACGAGGAAUACCUUGUAAGCGCGGGUCAUCAUCCCGCGCUGAAUACGUCCCUGCCCUUUGUACACACCGCCCGUCGCUCCUACCGAUUGAGUGGUCCGGUGAGGCUUUGGGAUCUGAGCGGAAAGAGCGUUUCGCUGUUUCUGCUCGGAAAACUCAGUCGAACCUUAUCAUUUAGAGGAAAGAGAAGUCGUAACA
rnacentral:rRNA from 1 species